rnacentral:rRNA from 1 species
UACGUAGGAGGCGAGCGUUGUCCGGAAUUACUGGGCGUAAAGAGCGCGUAGGCGGCCCGAUACGACGCGGGUGAAAGCCCCCGGCUCAACUGGGGAAGGUCCCGCGUAACGGUCGAGCUAUUGAGUGCAGGAGAGGGAUGUGGAACUCCGGGAGUAGCGGUGAAAUGCGUAGAGACCCGGAGGAACACCAGUGGCGAAGGCGGCAUCCUGGUCUGCGACUGACGCUGUGGCGCGAAAGCUGGGGGAGCGAACGGG